rnacentral:rRNA from 1 species
AUGGCGGAGGCUGCACCGCUUUCCCCCCACCGCAGCCUCCCGGAAGAAAUCUCCAUCUGGGAGAUCCUCGUCCGCCUGCCCCCCAAAGCCCUCCUCCGUUGUCGUGCCGUUUGUCGCACCUGGCGCGGUGCCACCUCCACCCACGACUUCCUCCUUGCUCACCAUGCCCGCCAGCCCGCCCUCCCCCUCUUCUACGCCUCCAAUUUCAAGUGCGACGGCGACCGCGUCAAGUCCCUAGACAUCAUUCCCUUCGACCACCGAGUAGGGAUCGCCGCCGCCGACCGGCUCCAGUCCGUCGCACGAAUUGACCUCUCCUAUCCCGGUCUGGAGAUCUCCUGCGAUGGUCUCCUCGUCUUCUCCGUAGGCGAAAACAGAAAUUUGUCUGUCUACAAUCCCGCAACUCGUCAAUAUGCUCCACUCCCACAGAUUGCUGGCUUCAUGUUACUGGGGAUGUACCUGCACAGCCCAACCGGCGAGUACAGAUUAUUGUUGUACUUGAGUGAUGCAAAUCUGGGACACAAUGGCUCCUAUGUCUUUUCAGUAGGCUCCGACCAGCCGCCAAGGUACAAAGGGUAUCCCAAUGCAUUUGAAUUGAUGUUCACCAGACCCAUUUUGUUCCGUGGUAGCCUGCAUUGGCAAAUUCUAAAGAGCGCGGGCAACAUGUUAAAGGUAUUCAACACGACCGUUGAGUCAUUCCGGCAGAUGCGUGCUCCGCUUCUUCCUUACCCCGCUCACCUGUUUGAGAUGGAUGGAAUGCUCAGCAUGUUCAGCUUUGAUGAGGCAACCAACACAACCAUUGAUAUCUGGAUGUCACAAGACUAUGACAAUGAGGUAUGGGCCUUGAAAUACCGGGUUAAAUUACCAGUUGCAGAUCUCACAGUGCGGUUUGGAAAGUUUGUUGAGUAUUGGAAUUUCAUGGUCACUUCUAGGGAUGGUGAUGUGUCCAUGCUGGUCAAAUUUGGUGAGUGGCUACUUCAGUUUGACAUCAAUGGCAAGUUUAGUGCCAGUUUCCAUUUUAGAGGCCUUUUUCCUGCUGAACAUUGUCUCAAGCAAACUCUUGUUCAGCAUACAUUCUUUCCAAUGCUACAGGGUUAUGUUGUGAAAAAUUCGCCUUUCAUCGGAUGUGAUAGCUGUCCAGUGAGGCAACGCUUCUAA